rnacentral:rRNA from 1 species
GAUGAACGCUAGCGGCAGGCUUAAUACAUGCAAGUCGAGGGGUAGCAAGAUUGUAGCAAUACAAUUGUUGACGACCGGCAAACGGGUGCGGAACACGUACACAACCUUCCUACAAGUGGGGAAUAGCCCAGAGAAAUUUGGAUUAAUACCCCGUAACAUAGCGAUGUGGCAUCACAUUGCUAUUAUAGCUUCGGCGCUUGUUGAUGGGUGUGCGGCUGAUUAGAUAGUUGGCGGGGUAACGGCCCACCAAGUCUACGAUCAGUAGCUGAUGUGAGAGCAUGAUCAGCCACACGGGCACUGAGACACGGGCCCGACUCCUACGGGAGGCAGCAGUGGGGAAUUUUGGACAAUGGGCGCAAGCCUGAUCCAGCAAUGCCGCGUGCAGGAAGAAGGCCUUCGGGUUGUAAACUGCUUUUGUACGGAACGAAACGGUCCUGGUUAAUACCCGGAGCUAAUGACGGUACCGUAAGAAUAAGCACCGGCUAACUACGUGCCAGCCGCCGCGGUAACAC